GGGCGAAAGCCUGAUCCAGCAAUGCCGCGUGCAGGAUGAAGGCCUUCGGGUUGUAAACUGCUUUUGUACGGAACGAAAAAGCUUCUCCUAAUACGAGAGGCCCAUGACGGUACCGUAAGAAUAAGCACCGGCUAACUACGUGCCAGCAGCCGCGGUAAUACGUAGGGUGCGAGCGUUAAUCGGAAUUACUGGGCGUAAAGCGUGCGCAGGCGGUUAUGUAAGACAGAUGUGAAAUCCCCGGGCUCAACCUGGGAACUGCAUUUGUGACUGCAUGGCUAGAGUACGGUAGAGGGGGAUGGAAUUCCGCGUGUAGCAGUGAAAUGCGUAGAUAUGCGGAGGAACACCGAUGGCGAAGGCAAUCCCCUGGACCUGUACUGACGCUCAUGCACGAAAGCGUGGGGA
rnacentral:rRNA from 1 species